rfam:Nicotiana sylvestris Nsyl_contig136766, whole genome shotgun sequence.
AAGAGAAGAGCAUGUCAAGAUAGCCAAGGAGACUGCCUGAAACCAAGCAAAAAAAGGCCACCAAUAUUAAAUGGUCAAACGCCUUUUAAAAAUAAUGGAGCAGGCAAGUCAUCCUUGGCUACUAAACAAAUAUGACUCUCCUCU